AGAGGGUGCAAGCGUUAAUCGGAAUUACUGGGCGUAAAGGGCACGUAGGUGGAUUAUUAAGUCGGAUGUGAAAUCCCUGAGCUUAACUUAGGCAUUGCAUACGAUACUGAUAGUCUAGAGUAUGGGAGAGGGAAGUGGAAUUUCCGGUGUAGCGGUGAAAUGCGUAGAUAUCGGAAGGAACAUCAGUUGCGAAGGCGGCUUCCUGGCCUAAUACUGACACUGAGGUGCGAAAGCGUGGGGGUAGCGAACAGGAUUAGAUACCCUGGUAGUCCACGCUGUAAACCGAUGAGAACUAGCCGUUGGGACCUUAAGGUCUUAGUGGCGUAGCUAACGCGCUAAGUUCUCCGCCUGGGAGUACGGCCGCAAGGCUA
rnacentral:rRNA from 1 species